UGAGGAAUAUUGGACAAUGGGGGAAACCCUGAUCCAGCAAUACCGCGUGUGUGAAGAAGGCCUGCGGGUUGUAAAGCACUUUCAAUAGUGAAGAUUGGGUUAAUGGUUAAUACCCAUUAGCUUUGACGUUAACUAUACAAGAAGCACCGGCUAACUCCGUG
rnacentral:rRNA from 1 species